GAUGAACGCUGGCGGCGUGCCUAAUACAUGCAAGUCGAGCGAACAGACGAGGUGCUUGCUCCUCUGACGUUAGCGGCGGACGGGUGAGUAACACGUGGAUAACCUACCUAUAAGACUGGGAUAACUUCGGGAAACCGGAGCUAAUACCGGAUAAUAUAUUGAACCGCAUGGUUCAAUAGUGAAAGACGGUUUUGCUGUCACUUAUAGAUGGAUCCGCGCCGCAUUAGCUAGUUGGUAAGGUAACGGCUUACCAAGGCAACGAUGCGUAGCCGACCUGAGAGGGUGAUCGGCCACACUGGAACUGAGACACGGUCCAGACUCCUACGGGAGGCAGCAGUAGGGAAUCUUCCGCAAUGGGCGAAAGCCUGACGGAGCAACGCCGCGUGAGUGAUGAAGGUCUUCGGAUCGUAAAACUCUGUUAUUAGGGAAGAACAAAUGUGUAAGUAACUAUGCACGUCUUGACGGUACCUAAUCAGAAAGACACGGCUAACUACGUG
rnacentral:rRNA from 1 species